UUGAAUUGUGUUUUGCGGUUUCAUUGUUAUACACUGAGAAAUUAAUAGAAUGCAUGGUCAAACAACUUUUUUAUUUUAGUUGCUUUAUGAUUCAUUUUUCAUUUACAAGACAUGUAGCUAUGGACGAUCAUGACAUACAUGUGCUGGAUAUUGUUUUGCAGCUUUUGCUAAAACUCACUUCCUUUAACAGCAUUCGACUUGAUUCUUGCCAGCACUGCUAUAUCCACCUCUUUUU
rnacentral:lncRNA from 1 species